UUGUGUCUUUUCUUUUGUGUCAUUCAGGAUCAAGAUUUACUCACCAUGUUUGUGUGUUCUAUUGUUAGCCUCUUCUUAGUGAUGUGGUGCACAGGUUCAAACUCUCAGCCUCUUCUGACCCAGCAAGCAUCAGCCUUGGUACCAGUAGGAGGCGCACUGAAAAUCUCCUGUGUCGGUAGCACUGACCUCAGCAUCAGUGGCCAAUAUGUCUCCUGGUACCAGCAAAAGCCUGGGACCUCCCCACGAUACCUCUUAGCAUAUCAUUCAGAUUCCAACAAGUACCAAGGCUCUGGGGUCCCUGCUCGUUUCUCUGGUUCCAAAGACAACUCCAGGAACACCGCCUAUUUGAGCAUCACAGGAGCCCAGGAAGAAGACGAGGCUGACUAUUACUGUGCAACAUAUCAUGGCAGUGGCAGCACUUUUCAGUUUGCACAGUGA